UAAGCCUUUAUUGUGAAUGGCAGAAUCACGCAGACAUUUAUGAGAGCCAGGGACAGGUGUGUGCGUGCGCGCGUGUGUGUGUGUGUGUGUGCUUGUGGAAGCAGGCAUGGUUAGCUACAUAAUAAAUGGUGUUAUUGACCCACAGAAAUUUGUCUUUACUUCCAUUAUUACAGUAGCUGUAACCACAUCAAAAUUAAACAAUGUUGAUUAUUUAAGAGCUGAAUGGGGAGAACUUGUGAGAUUGCAGUGUUGCCUUUUUCCCCUAAAACAUCAGCCAAAUGCCUAAAUUGCAAAUAGGUGAGUUUUGGUGCAUGUAUUAGAUAAUAAGCUUAUGGGCAAUGGGAAUUACAGGGAAGU